CACCACAACGGGUGGAGCCCGCGGUUUAAUUGGACUCAACGCCGGGCAGCUCACCGGAUAAGACAGCUGGAUGAUAGCCGGGCUGAAGACUCUGCUUGACUAGCUGAGAGGAGGUGCAUGGCCGUCGUCAGUUCGUACUGUGAAGCAUCCUGUUAAGUCAGGCAACGAGCGAGACCCACGCCAACAGUUGCCAGCAUGUCCUCCGGGAUGAUGGGGACACUGUUGGGACCGCCUCUGCUAAAGAGGAGGAAGGAAUGGGCAACGGUAGGUCAGCACGCCCCGAAUUAUCCGGGCUACACGCGGGCUACAAUGGUCAGGACAAUGGGUAUCGACACCGAGAGGUGGAGGCAAUCUCCUAAACCUGUCCUUAGUUCGGAUUGUGGGCUGCAACUCGCCCACAUGAAGCUGGAAUCCGUAGUAAUCGCGUUUCAAAAUAGCGCGGUGAAUAUGCCCCUGCUCCUU
rnacentral:rRNA from 1 species